GGAGAGGUAGGAGAGAUCCAGAGACUGUCAUAUUGUGUCUUAUUCAGUGUGUGAUCAGUCAUGGUGUUGUGAACUGACAGCAGGUUUGUCUGUCUACACUCACAGCUCUCUCUAAGGAGGAGACACAGGACGAAGACUGAGGCCGUUUAUGAGGACAUUCAGCACAGACACAAUCACUUCACUCAGAGGGAGAGUCUCAUCUCUGAAGAACUGCAUUCUGGGUAUGAAGAUGCUGAUGAGCUUCUCUCAGCAAAAGUGUUCAAGACUGCAUAUUAUGAUGAUGUUACUAAUGAAAGUGGCCUAAAAGAAGAGAUGGUGAAGGAAAUCACACCCGGG